rnacentral:rRNA from 1 species
UGGGGAAUCUUGCGCAAUGGAGGAAACUCUGACGCAGCUACGCCGCGUGCAGGAAGACACCCCUACGGGGCGUAAACUGCUUUUCUGCGAGAAGAAGGUCCCGCCCUGCGGGAUUUGACGGUAUCGCAGGAAUAAGGACCGGCUAACUCCGUGCCAGCAGCCGCGGUAAUACGGAGGGUCCAAGCGUUGUCCGAAAUUACUGGGUGUAAAGGGUGUGCAGGCGGAGCAGAAAGUCAGAAGUGAAAGCCCGCGGCUUUACCGCGGAAGUGCUUUUGAUACUACUGUUCUUGAGUCCCGGAGAAGCUACCGGAAUUCGUGGUGUAGCGGUGAAAUGCGUAGAUAUCACGAGGAAUACCAGAAGCGUAGGCGGGUAGCUAGACGGUGACUGACGCUCAGGCACGAAAGCGUGGGGAGCAAACAGGAUUAGAUACCCCUGUAGUCC